UACAGAGGGUGCAAGCGUUGUUCGGAAUCAUUGGGCGUAAAGGGCGUGUAGGCGGUCUGUUAAGUCAUGUGUGAAAUCCCUCGGCUCAACCGGGGAACGACGCAUGAAACUGUCAGGCUCGAGCACGGUAGAGGCAGAUGGAAUUCCCGGUGUAGCGGUGGAAUGCGUAGAGAUCGGGAAGAACAUCAGUGGCGAAGGCGGUCUGCUGGGCCGUUGCUGACGCUGAGGCGCGACAGCGUGGGGAGCAAACAGG
rnacentral:rRNA from 1 species